rnacentral:lncRNA from 1 species
GGGAUACGGUUAGCUGUCUGGUUCACUGUGGUUGCGAUCAUAGACGUGGUGAUCAUCCUGGUCGAGGUCGGAGCGUAAGGAUAAACUAGGGUAGUUUCUCGCUUUAUAGAGUUUUGAAUGUUAAGAGUUGGGCUUGUAUAUAUUUUAUGUUUACAGAGAGUAUGUUGAAUUACAGUUUAGACGUGGGUAUGUAAUAGUUUAAGUAUGGGUUUUGGCAAAUUUUCGGUUUAAUUAGCAGUGAAUGAGAUAUUGAGGGUACUAUUUAUAUGUGUGUAGAGCCAGUGAAUAUAGGUGUAGUUAGCAGGGAAUGGUGGAAGGUGAGAUAAAAUAUGAUAAGUAGAAUUGAUUAUGAUUGUGAUUAGGUUGGGGGUGUGUGUGUGGUGCUAGUCUUGUUGUGUGUGACAGCUGGUAUCCGAAGCAGGGUUUAAAAGCCAAAUAUAUCCUGAGGGGCUAUGUCGUGGAAGUGAUGGAUCACAGUGAACAGGGUGUUGUCUAGAGUUUGUCGGCGGGGUGCGGAGUUGGGUCGGUUGUUAUGAUUAUGUUGUAUUAUAUGUUGCAUGUGCUAAAUUUAAACGUUGAUGCAGAGAGGAUAUGGCGGAUGAGGACUCAUCAGUUUCCGCUUAGAGGGGGUGGAACAAGAGGAGCUGUGACAACGAGUGCAGAAUCAGCCUGAUGCAAAGAGAGAUUAGCUGCCUUGAUGACACAGUACAUGGAGUUUCAGAUCGGCAAGGCCAGUACGAGGUUACCACCCUACAUGAGCAGUUAUGAAAUUGAAAUCCGCCUGAAUUGUAUGGGGGCAACUGAUCCUUUAGUGGCCUGAAGAAUGGCUUGAAGAAGUUACAGAUACCAAUUUUGAAGUGAUGGAGUGACCACGCGAACAGGAAAUUGACUUUAGCACAUUAUGUUGAGGGGAGAUGGCAAGAAUUGGUGGGAACGAAAUGAGGAGAAUGCCAACCUGAAGGAGUAGUUGCCAGUGUUGUUCAUGCAAGAUUGUGGAAAUUCUUCAAUGAUCAAUACUUCCCUCGCAUCUACCGUAUGCAAAAAAGAAACAAGAGUUUAGGAUUGAAAGAAAAGGACGGAUGUCUAUGGCAGGAAAUUUGAGGAAAAAUUUAUAGCCCUGCUUGUCUCGAUUUGCGCCUGAAAUGGUGCCGUACUGAAGGUGUUGAAGUGAGACGAUUUGAGCAGGGUCUGGAUUGGCAGAAUCCCGGAGCCGAGUGGCUAGGUUUGAACUAAUUAUUAUAUCAGAAUUGGUGGAAAUAAAGCACAAUUGCAGUAACGAGAGGUAAUGGAAUUUCAAAAUAGCGAGAGAGUUUCAGAAAAGAGAUUUGAUUCAGGGGUGGAUCGUCAAGACAAAGGUCUUCAGAAAUAACAGCAGAGCAGCAUAUAACAGAUUCCAAGAUGAUACGGGGGAGUGCAAGAUUUGGUAAUUCUAGACGUGGGGGAAAGACUAGGGGUAGGGGAGGAGGAUCGUGGAGACCACCCCAGUAGGGCCUAAUACUACACGAUCUGGUCCUAAGGAGAUUGUUUGUUAUCGUUUUGGCUGUUGAGGUCAUAUGGUUCGUGAUGUCCACUACCAUGGGUGGACAACUGUUAUCAGUGCGGGCACCCGGACACUAGCUUAAACAUUGUACCGAAGGCCUGUUGCAGUUUCAUUCAGUAGGCAGUGCAGUUGAGAGAGUGAGGACAAAUAGAAAGUGCAAACAAGGGCAGGCAACUACUCCAGAACCGCGUGUCAAGGCUCGAGUUAUGCAUUGACACAGGAGAUAGUCAAGCCACGCCUAAUGCAGUAGCGGUACAUUUAGUAAAAUAAGAGAAAGCUACGUAUUGAUAGAUCAAGUGCUACGCAUUCAUUUGUGUCGACUAUAUUCUGCAUGCAUCUAGAUAGAUCAUGUAGUUCAUUGUCCCAACCCAUUACUUGGUCUACCCAGUGGGAGAUGUGGGUGGUUUUUAGUGGAGGAGGUAUAUAAGGAGUGUGUUUGCAAAUUGGUGCGAAGGAGUGUUAGUGAUUUGAUGCCACUGAGUAUUCAUGACUUUGAUCUGAUUUUGGGAAGGAUUGGUUAGCUGCAUAUCAUGCUUCUAUUGACUGUUUCAGAGGAAGUUGUGUUUAAAAGCCAAAUUGAAGUAGAGUUUACAUUUCAAGGUGUGAAGAGAUGUAGUUCCACUUGUUGUUUCGGAUGGUGAUGUGAAAGCAAGGAGAAAGUGUUGCAGAAAGGCUGUGAGGGAUAACUUGGCACCUAUUAGUGAUACUCAAAAGCAGAAAAUAAGUAUCUGAUUUUACUUGUUGUUAGAGAUUUUCCAGAUUAAUGUAUUUCCAGAUGAGUUCCAGGGGUAAUACUAGACAGGGAGGGAGGUGAGUUAGUUUUCUAUGAGUAUUGCCUGGGAACUACACUAUUUCUAUAGCUCCGAUUGAAGGCACAUUUGAAUUGCUGAGAAUGAAAGGUGCAAUUUGCAAGACUUGCUUGAGAAAGGGUUAUUCAACCGAGGUGUAUCAACCUUGGGGUGCGCAGUUCUGUUUGUCAAGAAGCAAGGAUGGCAAUAUGCGAUUAUGUAUGCGAUUAUAGACAGCGAAUUGAAUCAGGUCACAGUGAGAACAAGUAUCCUUUACACGGAUAGAUGAAUUGUUUGAUCAGUUUACAAGGGGCUGUGUCUUUCCAAGAUUGAUUUGAGAUCUGGAUACCAUCAGUUGAAAGUGAAGGACAGUAGUGAUGUUUCGAAGACUGAUGAUUCCGUUACUCGCUAUGGACACUAUGAGUUUUUGGUGAUGCCUUUUGGAGUGACGAAUGCACAGCAUAUUUUCAUGGCUUUGAUGAACGGGUAUUCAGAAUUUCUUGAAUUCAUUUGUCAUUGUGUUUAUUGACGACAUAUUGGUUUAUUCUCGGAGUCAAGGAAGAACCAUUGAACGCAUUGAGACUUGUGCACAGACUUUACGUGAAAAGCAAUGAUGCAAAAUCGCAAAUGUGAAUUUUGGCUGGAUAGGGUGUGGAAAUUCUUGGGUCAGUUAUAUCUGAAGAGGGAAUACUGUGGAUCCAAAGAAAUAGGACAGUAAUUGAAUUGGGGAGCAGCCAAAGAAUGUAGUAAGGAAAUCAGAAGUUUUCUGGGAUUGCGAGGUACUAUCGGAGGGUUUAUACAGGGGUUUUCUGCUAUUGCUGUUUCAUUGACCGGUUGAUCGCAGGAAGGAUGUCAAAAUUUGAGUGGUGGAACAGAUGAUUGAGCGAGUUUUCCGGAAUAUUAAAACUAAGUGACUACGCACCAGUGUUGACGAUUCCUUUGGAAAGGGAGACUUUGUGGUAAUAGUGAUGAACUUCACAUCAGGGAUUAGGAUGUGUAUUGAUGACAGCCAGGACGGUAGUUGAGUAUGCGGGGGGGGGGUCCAAGACAGGUGAAGCCACAUGAAAUGAAUUAUCCUAACAUGAUUUAGGUGGGGGGAAGUUGGCUGCUUGUGGUGUUUGCUUUGAAGAUAUGGAGGCAUUAUUUGUAUGGAAGAGUCUUUUGAAGUGAUAUCAGAUCAUCAAAGUUAAAGUAUUUGUACACAACGAGAUUUGAAUGCUAGGACAGAGGAGAUGGAUGGAGCUGAUUAACGACUAUGAAUGUGUGAUCAUUAUCAAUCCAGGAGAGCCAAGGUGGGUUGGCUGAUGCUUUGAGUAGGGAAGUCGCAGGAAGGCUAGCUUGUAUCAAAAAGUUGCGGGCAAGUUUAUGUGCAGAGAUGAAUUAUUGAGAGUGGAGUGUGAGCAAAAGAAGAUCGGGUUGUUAUGGUUUAGCACACUUGCAAGUAAGUGAGACCUUUAUUGCUUUUUUUAUCGUAUUCGCGAAUUGCAAAUGCAAGAUGAUCAAUUGAGGAAGAUUAGGACAGCAAGUAGGGUGGACCAAAGUGAAUAAUUGAGUUCUCUAUACUUGGAUGAUGGGAAACCUUGAGUUUUGGAAAUAGGUUUUGUAUUCCCAAUGAGUUAGAGUUGAAGAAUGAUAUUUAGGGGAGGAAGCCACACCAAUCAAUGUAUUGCCAAUGCAAUCCAGGAUCACCAAGAUGUAUAGAGAUCGCGAGAGUGUAUUGGUGGCCAGGUGGUAGAAGAAAGAUAUUGCAGAGGGGUGGGCAAGAUGUCUAACUUGUUCAACAGGUGAAAGCUGGUGAACUCAAAGAGAACCUGCUGGUUGUUGCAACCUCGCCUAUCCACAGUGGAAAUGGGAGCAUAUUGCAUGGAUUUUGUGGUUGGGACUUCAAAAACUGCUACGGGGGUUUUGAUUCUAUUUGGGUGAUGUGAUAGGGGAUUGACCAAAUCAGCUCAUUUCCUUCCAGUAAAGAUAACUUACUCACUUGAACAGAUAGCAAAGCUGUAUGUGGAUGAGAUGGUGAGAUGCAGGCGCACCUAGUGUCUAUUUGUGUCGACAGAGAUCCAAGAUUUUACUUCCAGAUUUGGCCAAGUCUCAAAAGCAUGGGCACCAUCAUGAAAUUCAGUACGGCAUUUCAUCCUCAGACAGAUGGGCAAUCUGAGAUGACUAUCACUCAGAUUUUGGAGGAUAGGAUAUGUUGAGGGCUUGGGUAGCUUGGGACUUCAAAGGUAGUGGAAUUGAUUACAUUGCCUGAGGAGUUGCGGUUAUACAAUAGUUAUCACUAGUAUGGUAUUCAUGGCACCAUUUGAAAGCUUGUAUGGUUUAGAAUAGAAAGUGUAGAUAGAACUCCAGUGUGUUGGACUGAAGUGGGGAAAAAGACAGUUGUUGGGUCCAGAGAGAUUCAGGAUACAAACAGAGGAGAAGAUCAAAAACAGUACAUGAGCAGUUGGAAGGUUGCACAGAGUAGGCAAAAGAGGCUAUGCUGAUAAUCGCCGACGGGAACUUGAAUUGAGGUGGGAGAUCAAGUGUUUUUGAAAGUUUUCUCCAUGGAAGAGUGUAACGAGAUUUGGAAGGAAAGGUAAACUGAAUCCAAUGAAACAUGGUCCGUAUACCAUAAUUAGAGAGUUGAAAGCAGCUUAAGAUUAUAGAUUGGACUUACCACCAGAGAUGUACAAGUUACCACAAUGUGUUGUCAUGUAUCUAUGUGAGAAAGUAUAUGCAGAUCCGUCACAUGAUUGGUGCCUGCCAAAAAACCGAUAUUGAGUUGGAGAAUGAUUGAGUUAUGUAGAGGAACGGUUGCACAAUCUUCUUAGACGAAGACGAGCAAGUUCUCGAAAACAAGGUGAUACCGUGGUAAAAAGUUUGUGGAGGGCAAACAGUAGAGGAGGCUACAUGGCAAAGUGAGGAAGUAUAUGCGGGAGUCAGUAUACAUAUUUAUUUCCAGGUGAGAAUGUCGGGACGAAAAAUUCUUAAGGCGGGGGGAGUUGUGAACCCCAAACCCUUAAUUCUCAUAAUUAAAUUAGUUUCAUGCAUAUAAUUCGAAUUUAAAAACGUGUGUUAUAUAUGUGGAAGUGUGAGUGAGGAUAUAAAUGUUAUUAUUAUAAUUAUGGGGUGAAAACAUAAAUAUGUAAACUAGCCUAAGGGUUAAAAUGAAAGAUUUAAAGCUUUUGAGAUCAAAUUAAAGAAAUCUAUAAGGUUGAGGGGUACAAGUGUGAUUUGAACAAAGAAAUUGGGUGUGUCGUAGACACCCGUCACUUUCCUCUUUCUUGUGUGGUGGUGUGUUGUAUAGCUUAUUUGGGUGAAAAAAUUAGAAAAAUCAAGAGUGAGGUCGAAGAGAGAAGAAAAGAAAGGAGAAGGAGGGGAAGGAAAAAUCACAAAUAUCAAGGUGGUUCUUGAUUUGCAAGAAUUAGUUUGAUUCAAUUAUUUUUGUUUUUUGGUGUAAUAUCAAUUGAAAUUUGAAAUGAUCUUGUUGUUGAGUUAAUGGGACAUCUUAAUUAGGUGUAAUUGAUUAAGUGUUAGAAAUAUUUAGAAAUAAGGAAUUUUAUGUUGUCAAUAUAUUAUAUAUAUAUGUGUGUUUGUGUGUGUGGUGAUUGUGUGUGUAGAUAUUAUAUAUAUGUGUGUGUGGUAUAAUAUCUGAGGAAGGAAAAGAAAACAGAGCAAGAAAAAAAAAAAUAAGAAAGAAACAGAGAGUGAGUCGCAGCUUUUGGCUGUGUUGUUGCUGCCAGAACUGGAAAUAAUCAGUGUGUCCGUGCCCAUAAACACUCCGUGUACCUAGGUAAAAGUUGGUCAAUAGGACGAGUUCGGGUCGUAUAAAAUAGUCUGUUUUCUAUGGUUCAGUGUUCUGAAACCAAUGGUAAGGUCCGUUCAGCCUAAUUCCAAAGUUAAAAUAAUGAAUUACUUAAAGAGAUGAUCCGGUAGAGAUUUUUGAGUGUGUUUGGUGGAGGAUCACGGUUGGAAAAAGGCUUUUAAUUGCCUUGAAAUUAUAAGAGUGUAAGUACUAUAUUUAGUAAGAAUCCAUAGGGUUAAAUUACAAAUUUAUAGACUUGAGCAAUAUACAUUGUACUCGUGUACUGAUAACUUGUGAUUAACAGGGACUUAGGAAGGAGAAGGGCCUCAAGGCAAACUCAGGCGUAAAUUGACUUGGUGUGGUGCCCGGGUGACAGGGCGGGAAUAUAGAGAUCUUAUUCAUACUGAAUUUCUUGUCUUUUCUUACGUUGAUGAUGAUAAAGAUAUCUAUGAGGUGAUAUAUGAUUGAUGUGGUGAUUAUAUUUAUGAGCUGAUUAUAUAUUCAUGUUGAUAAUUUAUACAUAUGAGGUGCAGGGGUGGGGCUAAAUACAGAUAGUCUAUCAAAUUGAAUUGAUUAUCUAGAUGAAUCGGAUGUGAUAUAAUAUAUAUAUAUAUGAGGUGAAAUGAAAUAUAUUGUGAUGAUGAUUUAUAAAUGAAGGGCAUUGCAUGUUGUGUGCUUGCAUUGCACUGGUGAUAGUUUAACCACGGUGGGUUGUAACUAAGGCUUAGUCACGGUUGGAGGGACUGCAUAAAGGAUGUUAUACGGGACAUCCUACGGGUUUUUAUAAGUGGGACAUCCUGAUACGAGGCCAACAAAUAUUGGGCCAACGUUAUCUAAAUUUGCUGCGCACAUGUGGUGAUGCAUUUUUGCAUAGACAUUGAUUAUUGCUGGAUAUAUAUUAUGAUGUGUACUGUUUCUUUAUCAUUCUUUAUGAAUUUGUAUCUGUUGUGAGCCCGUUGAUUAUUAGCUCACACCCCACACAGACUCUUUUGACAGGUGAGGGGAUACGGUUAGCUGUCUGGUUCACUGUGGUUGCGAUCUAGAAGUUGGUGAUAUCUGGUCGAGGUCGGGAGUCGUAAGCAUAAACUCGGGUAGUUCUCGCUUAUAGAGUUUUGAAUGGUUAUGAGUUGGGCUGUGUAUAUAUUUUAUGUUUACAGAGAUAUGUUUAUAUCAGUUUAGGACGUGGGUAUGUUAUAUAUGUUCAGUUAUGGGUUUUGGCAUUUGGUGUUAAUUAGCAGUGACAUGAGUCUUGAGGUGGUACUCUUUAUCUGUUGUGUAUGAGGUGAAUUCAGGUGUCGAGUUCGCAGGCAUGGUGGCAUGUAUGCGAUAACACUAUGCCUAAUUAGCAUUGAUAUGUUGAUUUAGGUUGGGGGGUGUGACAAAGGAUC